rnacentral:lncRNA from 1 species
ACAAAUCAAGACUAGUUAGAUCCUUCAAACUCACCAACGAGUCAAUAAAGUGUAACCUAAUGUUGUCAUGGCUUUGAUAUGAUAUCCAUCUAACAGAUAGAGACUUCAAAGUUGGUCUCUCGAGGAUGGCGGCGGAUGCAAUGCCGUCAUUAGUUAAGAUUGGCCAUUCCAUCAUGAUAAACUCUUCAAGAAACACACAAUUCGUUCAAAAUCCAAAGUGACGGAUCCUUCAAUACAUAGGAAUGACCGGAGAGAUUAAUCUUGCGGAGCUUCCGGCUGACAUAACAAUUACCCCAAUAUACAUACGGUCAAAAUCUAUAAAAGAGAAAGGGUGUCAAGUUCUUCAAGGUGAGGGAAACAACCAGAUAUAAGAGUUAUGUCUUCGUUAUGGAUAAAAUAAACGUUGAAACAAAUGAGAGAGGUCAAAGUUGUAAUCUUUUUGGAGAAAGCUCUUAACCCAUUUGAGGGGAUGGCCUGUUGGUUAGAGAGAUUGAGUGAUGUGAGGUUCAAUCAGAAACAAGAUAUUUGAGAGAGAAGUGCUUUGAGGUCACCGCGGAAGCAUGUAAGGUUGAGGGAUGUAAGAUUGGUGAACCUUUUGAAGAGGCAAUGAUAGUGAGUGAGAGAAACCUUUUAGAGACCACAGAGAAAGAUUCCAUGUAACGGUGGUUGUCUUUACUGUCGUCGGCGUGGUUGAGGAAUACUCAUCCGGAAAAUAAAAAUCUGGUUCUUCAACCAUUGUGGAAGAAACAAAGUGUUGAAAGAAUUGGAGAGAGUUGUUCUGGUGAGUGAAUGAAGCUAUGUGUUAUGGGUGCAGCAAUGGCUGUCGUUUCACGAUUUGUGGAUGUCUUCCCAAAUUUGAGGGGUUUAGGAUUAGGGUUCUUUUCUUCUGACGCAAGGUUUAGGUUAGGUUCCAAAGUUCAUAUUCAAACUAUAUAUAAUAAUAUAUAAAUGUUAAGAAUAUGUUUGUGAAGGUCAAUAAAUUAGAUUAUAGCUUAUGGCUUUUAGCUUAUAAGCUAAAAGUUUUGUUUGGU